rnacentral:rRNA from 1 species
AAACAUGGCUCCCUGCCCAUAAAAUAUAGGGAGUCUGACCUGCCCAGUGACACACGUUAAACGGCCGCGGUACCCUGACCGUGCAAAGGUAGCAUAAUCAUUUGCCUUUUAAUUGAAGGCUCGUAUGAACGGUUUGACGAGGGCCAUGCUGUCUCCUAAAAAAUAUUUAAAAACUAAUUACUAGGUGAAGAAGCCUAGAUAAAACUAAGGGACAAGAAGACCCUAUCGAGCUUAAGCAAAAUCAUAGACAAGCCCGGUAAAUAGUACCACACUAAAAUGCCCGCCCUAUAAUUGACAUCUUUAGUUGGGGCGACUAAGGAAGACAAAAAGCUUCCUCUAACUCUUUAAAAGUAGACAACUUAGGAUCCAAUAAUUAUUGAUCAAAGGAAAAAGUUACCGUAGGGAUAACAGCGUAAUCUUUCUAGCGAGCUCUCAUCAAAAGAAAGGUUUGCGACCUCGAUGUUGGACUAAGAUAUCCUGGGAGUGCAGCCGCUCCCAAUGGUUGGUCUGUUCGACCAUUAAAAUCUUACGUGAUCUGAGU